rnacentral:rRNA from 1 species
AGUGAACGCUGGCGGCAGGCCUAACACAUGCAGGUCGAGCGGCAGCGGGUUCCCGCGAGGGGAUGCCGGCGAGCGGCGGACGGGUGAGGAACACAUCGGAAUCUGCCUGGUUGUGGGGGAUAACGUAGGGAAACUUACGCUAAUACCGCAUGCGACCCUGAGUCGACGGACUGGGGGUGAAAGUGAGGGACCUUCGGGCCUCACGCGACCAGAUGAGCCGAUGUCGGAUUAGCUAGUUGGCGGGGUAACGGCCCGCCAAGGCGACGAUCCGUAGCUGGUCUGAGAGGAUGAUCAGCCACACUGGGACUGAGACACGGCCCAGACUCCUACGGGAGGCAGCAGUGGGGAAUCUUGGACAAUGGGCGCAAGCCUGAUCCAGCCAA